rnacentral:rRNA from 1 species
GAUGAACGCUGGCGGCGUGCUUAACACAUGCAAGUCGAACGGUAAGGCCCUUCGGGGUACACGAGUGGCGAACGGGUGAGCAACACGUGGGUGAUCUGCCCUGCACUUCGGGAUAAGCCUGGGAAACUGGGUCUAAUACCGGAUAGGACCACUGCCUGCAUGGGUGGUGGGGGAAAGCUUUUGCGGUGUGGGAUGGGCCCGCGGCCUAUCAGCUUGUUGGUGGGGUGAUGGCCUACCAAGGCGACGACGGGUAGCCGGCCUGAGAGGGUGACCGGCCACACUGGGACUGAGAUACGGCCCAGACUCCUACGGGAGGCAGCAGUGGGGAAUAUUGCACAAUGGGCGCAAGCCUGAUGCAGCGACGCCGCGUGAGGGAUGACGGCCUUCGGGUUGUAAACCUCUUUCAGCACCGACGAAGCGCAAGUGACGGUAGGUGCAGAAGAAGGACCGGCCAACUACGUGCCAGCCGCCGCGGUAA